rnacentral:rRNA from 1 species
AGUGAACGCUGGCGGUAGGCCUAACACAUGCAAGUCGAACGGCAGCACAGUAAGAGCUUGCUCUUACGGGUGGCGAGUGGCGGACGGGUGAGGAAUACAUCGGAAUCUACUUUUUCGUGGGGGAUAACGUAGGGAAACUUACGCUAAUACCACAUACGACCUACGGGUGAAAGCAGGGGAUCUUCGGACCUUUCGCGAUUGAAUGAGCCGAUGUCGGAUUAGCUAGUUGGCGGGGUAAAGGCCCACCAAGGCGACGAUCCGUAGCUGGUCUGAGAGGAUGAUCAGCCACACUGGAACUGAGACACGGUCCAGACUCCUACGGGAGGCAGCAGUGGGGAAUAUUGGACAAUGGGCGCAAGCCUGAUCCAGCCAUACCGCGUGGGUGAAGAAGGCCUUCGGGUUGUAAAGCCCUUUUGUUGGGAAAGAAAAGCAGCAGGUUAAUACCCCGCUGUUCUGACGGUACCCAAAGAAUAAGCACCGGCUAACUUCGUG